rnacentral:rRNA from 1 species
GACGAGGGGUCCAAGCGUUGUUCGGAAUCAUUGGGCGUAAAGCGGGUGUAGGUGGCUCUAUAAGUCAGGAGUGAAAUCCCCGAGCUUAACUUGGGAAGUGCUUUUGAUACUGCAGAGCUUGAAUGUGGGAGAGGGUAGUGGAAUUCCAGGUGUAGUGGUGAAAUACGUAGAUAUCUGGAGGAACACCGGUGGCGAAGGCGGCUACCUGGCCCAACAUUGACACUGAGACCCGAAAGCAUGGGGAUCAAACAGG